rnacentral:rRNA from 1 species
GAUGAACGCUGGCGGCGUGCCUAAUACAUGCAAGUCGAGCGAACAGACGAGGAGCUUGCUCCUCUGACGUUAGCGGCGGACGGGUGAGUAACACGUGGAUAACCUACCUAUAAGACUGGGAUAACUUCGGGAAACCGGAGCUAAUACCGGAUAAUAUAUUGAACCGCAUGGUUCAAUAGUGAAAGACGGUUUUGCUGUCACUUAUAGAUGGAUCCGCGCCGCAUUAGCUAGUUGGUAAGGUAACGGCUUACCAAGGCAACGAUGCGUAGCCGACCUGAGAGGGUGAUCGGCCACCCGGGAAGUGAGACACGGUCCCGACUCCUACGGGAGGAAGCAGUAGGGAAUCUUACGCAAUGGGGGAAAGGCUGACGGAGCAAAGCCGCGUGAGUGAUGAAGGUCUUAGGAUCGGAAAACGCUGUUAGUAGGGAAGAACAAAUGUGUAAGUAGCUAUGAACGUCUUGACGGUACCUGAACAGAAAGCCACGGCUAACUCCGUG